GCGAGACAUGGGUGUCCUUGUACACCAGUCACUGAAAGUUGUCGUGCAGGCACAGCAGGCAGAGAAGAAAGCUAAUGGAAUAUUGGCCUUCAUAACAAGAGGAUUUCAGUAUAGGAGUAAAGAGGUUCUUCUGCAGUUGUAUAGGGCUCUGGUAAGAUCACAUCUGGAGUAUUGUGUACAGUUUUGGUCUCCUAAUUUGAGGAAGGACAUCCUUGUGAUUGAGGCAGUGCAGCGUAGGUUCACGAGAUUGAUCCCUGGGAUGGCGGAACUGUCAUAUGAGGAAAGAUUGAAAAGAAUAGGCUUGUAUUCAUUGGAGUUUAGAAGGAUGAGGGCGGGUCUUAUAGAAACAUAAAAAAUAUAUAAAAGGUCUGGACAAGCUAGAUGCAGGAAAAAUUGUUUCCAAUGUUGGGCGAGUCCAGAACCAGGGGCCACAGUCUUAGAAUAAAGUGGAGGCCAUUUAAGACUGAGGUGAGAAAAAAACUUUUUCACCAAGAGAGUUGUGAAUUUGUGGAAUUCCCUGCCACAGAGGGCAGUGGAGGUCAAAUCACUGGAUGGAUUUAAGAGAGAGAGUUAGGUAGAGCUCGAGGGGCUAGCGGAAUCAAGGGGUAUGGGGAGAAGGCAGGCACGGGUUGCUGAUUGGGGCCGAUCAGCCAUAAAUCACAAUGAAUGGCGGUGCUGUCUCGGGGCCGAAUGGCCUCCUCCUGCACCUAUUUUCUAUAUUUCUAUGUUUCUCCAAGCUCCCAAGCUACGAAGUCCCCUAUUUGAACAAGCAGAGUGAAGGCGCUGCAGAUUCAUUCAAUGAAUGGCGGGUUUACCUUAUCUGCAUAAGAAAUAGACCACAUCUCGCAACCUAGCGAUCAGGCAGAAGAAAUGAUUCUGGGGAAGAAAAUCAUAUUGAUUAUUGAAUAUACCGGGGUUAAAUAAUUCGGCUGGCAGCGUGUCAGGGAUUCGGAUUAUGCUGCACUGAAAGAGCUCGCCCAUUCCUUUAAGACAUGAGAAUACACUAUGCUUCCAAACAAUUACGCAUCAUUCGCAAAUAAUUUGACGUAUCAUUAGUGAUUGAUCAGAUUUCGAUGAAAGUGGACUGAGGCCGAGUGAUCAGAUCACCCGUAUUCAUGAUCAAUGACGGACGACAGCCACGAUAAUUUCAACAUAUUUAGGCUCAUGGAUAACUAAACAAUACUUUCUUUAAAUGGCAUCUGAUUAGAAGACAUUUUAUUAACGUGCAAUUGUUUGCAUUUUUAUAUAUAGAAGUGAAAAAAAUGACGAUAGCUUUCAAGGAUCUAGAAGCAAAGUUGGAAACAAAGGGAAAAGAACGGAUAAAAUGUGAGGAAACCUUAGAAAACAUGGAGGAGAAUUUAACAGCAAAAGAAAAAG